rnacentral:rRNA from 1 species
AGUGAACGCUGGCGGUAGGCCUAACACAUGCAAGUCGAACGGCAGCACAGUAAGAGCUUGCUCUUACGGGUGGCGAGUGGCGGACGGGUGAGGAAUACAUCGGAAUCUACUUUUUCGAGGGGGAUAACGUAGGGAAACUUACGCUAAUACCGCAUACGACCUACGGGUGAAAGCAGGGGAUCUUCGGACCUUGCGCGAUUGAAUGAGCCGAUGUCGGAUUAGCUAGUUGGCGGGGUAAAGGCCCACCAAGGCGACGAUCCGUAGCUGGUCUGAGAGGAUGAUCAGCCACACUGGAACUGAGACACGGUCCAGACUCCUACGGGAGGCAGCAGUGGGGAUUAUUGGACAAUGGGCGCAAGCCUGAUCCAGCCAUACCGCGUGGGUGAAGAAGGCCUUCGGGUUGUAAAGCCCUUUUGUUGGGAAAGAAAAGCAGCAGGUUAAUACCCCGCUGUUCUGACGGUACCCAAAGAAUAAGCACCGGCUAACUUCGUG